rnacentral:rRNA from 1 species
UACGUAGGGAGCAAGCGUUGUCCGGAAUCAUUGGGCGUAAAGCGCGCGUAGGUGGCCCGAUAAGUCCGCUCUGAAAGUCACAGGCUCAACCUGUGAAAGCGCGUGGAUACUGUCGGGCUAGAGUCCGGAAGAGGCGAGUGGAAUUCCUGGUGUAGCGGUGGAAUGCGCAGAUAUCAGGAGGAACACCACGGCGAAGGCGCUCGCUGGGGACGGUACUGACACUGAGGCGCGAAAGCUGGGGGAUC